rnacentral:rRNA from 1 species
GUCCAGACUCCUACGGGAGGCAGCAGUGAGGAAUAUUGGUCAAUGGGCUUACGCCUGAACCAGCCAAGUCGCGUGAAGGAUGACGGCCCUACGGGUUGUAAACUUCUUUUGUCAGGGAGCAAUUGGGUCCACGUGUGGGCUUAGCGAGAGUACCUGAAGAAAAAGCAUCGGCUAACUCCGUGCCAGCAGCCGCGGUAAUACGGAGGAUGCGAGCGUUAUCCGGAUUUAUUGGGUUUAAAGGGUGCGUAGGCGGGCUUUUAAGUCAGCGGUAAAAAUUCGGGGCUCAACCCCGUCCGGCCGUUGAAACUGGGGGCCUUGAGUGGGCGAGAAGAAGGCGGAAUGCGUGGUGUAGCGGUGAAAUGCAUAGAUAUCACGCAGAACCCCGAUUGCGGAGGCAGCAUACCGGCGCUCAACUGACGCUCAUGCACGAAAGCGUGGGUAUCGAACAGGAUUAGAUACCCUAGUAACU